rnacentral:lncRNA from 1 species
GGACAAAGAGAGAGAGAGGCUUGGGCUGACCUCAGGCUGGACCAUGUUUAUUCUCACACCUGCAUAGUAUGGGUGGCCAAAUGAGAUGACCUGAAACAACUUCCAUAGUCUGCAAGGGAAGCUGGGAAAUGUAGUCUUUCAACGGGAAACUCAGUCUUCUUAUAGGUUCAAAGCAAGCCAACAAGCACUAAGCCCUAAGCCUUAAGGGCUUGCUUUUGACAGAUGCUCCCUCCUAAGUAUCAGGAAGGCCAGGUUUUAAUUCAGUCCUCAGACACCUUGUGCUCUGGUGGGAACUUGCCCCUGUGCCAAUGAGAUCCAGCCAAUAGCAGCCUUUGUCUCUUUCAGGUCCAAGAUUUGCCUCACACUGUGGAGGACCUCUGUGUAAUCUGUGACACCCCAGUUUUGUCCUCACAUCCUGUGAGGAGCAGCUAUCCCUAGCCAUUUGGCUAUACCUCAUCAUGCAACAGUGCCUGGGAAUGGCCCUGAGCCUCUGGGGAUCUAGGAUCAGGCCCGUAACAAUCGUAGUGCGUUUAUACUUGGGGAUAAUGUGUGCUGAUUGUUCUUAGAGCAUUUUCCUCUGCUAAUCCUGGCGAUUCAGGGCCAGACUCCACUAUGGAUCUAGUCGUGGGUCACCUGCCCCACACCAGGACCAACCUCCCUUGCCCCUCCCCUGCCUUCUGGAAAUACCCCUGACUCCCCCAGAUGUCCUAUCCCCUUUCGCCCCCACUCCUCAACCCCAAGACUCUUCUAUGGUCCUGUGCCCUUCUCUACUUCCCUCCUUAGGACUUGUCUGCCUCUCCUUCUGUGACAUCUGUCACAUGCCCUGCCUUCUGCUGUUGGAUCACUGUGGGCUCAGGCCUUUCUUAGAAAACAAGACAAGACUGCUUCUAGAUCAAAGACUGGACAAGCACUAGCUCCUGGGGAAAGUGGAGUGGAAAAACCCAGCACCCCCAGAGGGAGACAGACCUGGGGCUGGGGAUUGGCUCUUACCACAUGGCUGGACCACCUGAAUUCCGAGGACUAUUUCCUAGGCUGAGUGAGGCAGCACAUCCUUGUAAAUUCAGUGCUUUGGAGGAUCAGGUCAUCCUCAGCUACACAGUUAGUUCAAGACCAGUCUGGGUGACUUGAAAACAAGAAAAAAUGGAACCACUUGCUCACACAGCCUCUGUAGGCUUUUAGAGAGGGCCAAAGUGAGCUGGCUCCAGACGGCUCCUGAGCCAGAGACCCAAGGCCCCUUUUCCCCCAACCGCUUUACUUCUGAUGCUUAGGUUUUCUUGAUUGCUCUCUAUUUUACUAUUAACUGAAUUCACAAGAAGCCUUACUUACUGCGUACUGUUCCAAAUGCCUCCCAGAGCAAUUCUUGACAAGAGUGCUUUCAGAAAGAGGCAAGUAGGGCAGAUUUUGGGAUGGUAGAUUUGCGUAUAAAUGCAGAUCAGCCAUUUUCAAAGCCUCAUAUCACACACACACACACACGCACAUACACACACUCACACCCUGCCCCUGGCCAGGUCAACCACUACCUGUGCACUUGUUGAAAACACACAUUCUCAUAACCCCCGUGCUCCACAGGCUGAAACAGAAGGAUGGAGAAUUUGAACACAGCAUAGCAAGUCUGAGACCUGGUCUC